GACGAACGCUGGCGGCGUGCCUAAUACAUGCAAGUAGAACGCAGUUACGAACGGUUGAGUACCGCGUAGGAAACUGCCUCAUAGCGGCGGAUAACUAUUGGUAACGCUAGCUAAUACCGCAUACUGUGAGAUGGACCUGCGUUGUAUUAGCUAGUUGGUUAGGUAAAUGCUGACCAAGGCGAAGAUACAUAGCCGACCUUGGAGGGUGGUAGGGCACACUGGGACUGAGAAAAGGCCCAGAAUCCUCCGGGAGGCAGCAGUAGGGAAUCUUCGGCAAUGGACGGAAGUCUGGACGGGUAACGCCGCGGGAGUGAAGAAGGUUUUCGGAUCGUAAAGCUCUGUUGUUUGGUAAGCGGUAACUAACCAGAAAGGGACGGCUAACUACGUGCCAGCCGCCGCGGUAAUAC
rnacentral:rRNA from 1 species